GAUGAACGCUGGCGGCGUGCCUAAUACAUGCAAGUCGAGCGAACUGAUUAGAAGCUUGCUUCUAUGACGUUAGCGGCGGACGGGUGAGUAACACGUGGGCAACCUGCCUGUAAGACUGGGAUAACUUCGGGAAACCGAAGCUAAUACCGGAUAGGAUCUUCUCCUUCAUGGGAGAUGAUUGAAAGAUGGUUUCGGCUAUCACUUACAGAUGGGCACGCGGUGCAUUAGCUAGUUGGUGAGGUAACGGCUCACCAAGGCAACGAUGCAUAGCCGACCUGAGAGGGUGAUCGGCCACACUGGGACUGAGACACGGCCCAGACUCCUACGGGAGGCAGCAGUAGGGAAUCUUCCGCAAUGGACGAAAGUCUGACGGAGCAACGCCGCGUGAGUGAUGAAGACUUUCGGGUCGUAAAACUCUGUUGUUAGGGAAGAACAAGUACAAGAGUAACUGCUUGUACCUUGACGGUACCUAACCAGAAAGCCACGGCUAACUACGUGCCAGCCGCCGCAGUAACAC
rnacentral:rRNA from 1 species